rnacentral:rRNA from 1 species
ACGACUACAUAUCAGGCAUAUCAAUAAGCGGAGGAAAAGAAACUAACUAGGAUUCCCUUAGUAACGGCGAGUGAAGCGGGAAGAGCUCAAAUUUGAAAUCUUCAAGGCUCUACCUUGACGAAUUGUAGUUUAAAGAAGUGUUUUCUGUUGGAGUUUUGGUAAAAGUUCUUUGGAAUAGGACAUCAUAGAGGGUGAGAAUCCCGUAUUUGACCAUUUCUUCCAGCUGUGUGAUACACUUUCAAAGAGUCGGAUUGUUUGGGAAUGCAGUCCAAAAUGGGUGGUAAAUUUCAUCUAAAGCUAAAUAUUGGCGAGAGACCGAUAGCGAACAAGUACCGUGAGGGAAAGAUGAAAAGAACUUUGAAAAGAGAGUUAAACAGUACGUGAAAUUGUCAAAAGGGAAGCGUUUGACACCAGUGUCGUUUUCUCGAAAAUCAAUUAAAAAGUAUGGAUUUUGUAUUGUUAAGACCUUAUCAGCUUACGGUACUUUUUUCUUGCUCUUUUUAAUGCACUUUUCGUUUAACAAGUCAACAUCAAUUUCUUUUGUUGUAAAAGAGUCAUUGGAAGGUGGCUUUCACAUUCGGUGAAAGUGUUUAUAGCCUUUGGCUUCUGCAAUCGGAGAGAUUGAGGUCUGCAGCGUAGAUCCUUCGGGGUUAGAUACGUAGAUGCUAAGUUAUAGUUUUUCAUAGACAACUUGUUGACUAUGAUUAAUCAUGUAGCUUACUCGUUUACGCUAUUUUACCUACGCUUAGGAUGUUGAAUCUGUGCGAGACUAC